rnacentral:rRNA from 1 species
AGAUCAGGAAAGACUACCCGCUGAGUUUAAGCAUAUCAAUAGCCGGAGAGAA